GAGAUGAGAAGAAGAAUUUGAGGGGAAAGAAAAGAAGAAAAUGUGUGGAGAUGUGUGUUCCCCCCUAUUUAUACUAAUACAAGAUUAAUCAACACCACAUAAAUAAAUAAAAUUAAUUACAUCUUAGCCUUACAUUUGUCCCACUAAUAAAACAUAAACCUAAUUUAAUCCACUCAAGCACGUCCAACACAUUCCAUUAACAAUUACAAUACCUAACAUAGUAAAAACUUAUAAUUUCACAAGUACCACAUUUUUAAUUUUCAAACUUAUAAAUUUACAACAAAAGUGGCGGAUCCUCCUUGACAAUGACAUAAUUUCUCAGACUUUCAGAAUCCAAAUUUGACAUCUGUACAUUUGUUUGGAGCCUUAAAUUGUGUGAAAUUAUUAUUUUUACCUAAUAAACAUACAAAAAUACACAAAAUCAAUAUUUAAAAAAUAAUUAAAAAUUCAUAAUAUGUUACAUAAUUACAAAGGUAAAUUAUAUUAUAAGCACAAAAUAACAUUUUUACUCCUUAAUAAGCAUACAAUUUUUAACACUAGUCAGUGGUGCAUCUGUCCCACAUAAGUUUUUCUCUUCAAUCUAAUGCUCCGAAGUAAAAUUUUAACUCAUUCAAGUGUUUCGACAAGUGCAAUGCGGAGAGGACAGUGGCGAUAGUGGAGUUGUAGUGCAAGAUCCCGACAAGAUGAGCAGCAUUUAUAGAGGACACGUUUGUUAUCUGCCAGCCUGUCCACAAAUGUAUCCACUGCUUAAGCCGCCAUUGCCUUGUGCUGCGCCUGCUUCAUGGAACACAUGGCGAAAAACGCCUUGAUACCGACCUUCAGGUGACGAGGAUAUGGUGUCUCGUGGCAAUGGUGUUGCACAAUGGGGUGGUGGUGGAGCAGGGUGUUGCAUGGCAGAGGAAGAUGACGUGGUGGUGGAGCGUCUUGUUCAUGAGAGAGAAGAGAGAAUGAAAAAGUCAAACUCGAGGGUUAUUGCAAACCCAUAUAAACUCAUGAGAGGGGUCGCAUUUAAUUUAUGCGGGUGUUACUAUAUUAUAAUUUAGUCUAAUACAAUACCUAAUAAAGCCCAAACAUGAUAUAGUAUUAAUAUAAUACAAUACAUACUCUUAAGGUGUGUUUGACACACUGUAUUGUAUUAUACUGUAUUGCAUUAGCACUAUAUUAUAACAAUAUUAUACAAUGUUUGGUGCUAUACUGUACUGUAUUAAUUUUUAAUUAUGUUAUAUUGUACUGUAUUAAUUUUUUGUGAUUAAUUUAAAUUAUAUGUUAU
rnacentral:lncRNA from 1 species